UACAGAGGUGGCAAGCGUUGUUCGGAAUUACUGGGCGUAAAGGGCGCGUAGGCGGCCUUCUAAGUCAGACGUGAAAUCCCCGGCUUAACCUGGGAACUGCGUCUGAUACUGGGAGGCUAGAGUAUGGGAGAGGGAUGUAGAAUUCCAGGUGUAGCGGUGAAAUGCGUAGAUAUCUGGAGGAAUACCGGUGGCGAAGGCGGCAUCCUGGACCAUUACUGACGCUGAGGCGCGAAAGCUAGGGGAGCAAACGGG
rnacentral:rRNA from 1 species